rnacentral:misc_RNA from 1 species
AAGUCGUAACAAGGUUUCCGUAGGUGAACCUGCGGAAGGAUCAUUUGUGAAAAUUUAAUGUUUUUUUUGAAGAGGAGUAAAAUCCUUUUUAGAAAAACAUAAAAAAGAGAUCUUGUGGUUUAUAAAUGAUUUUUAAAAAAUUGUUUGUUGUUGAAAAAUGACAAACAAUUAUAUUUUUAAAAUCAAUAUUUUAUAAAAAACUAUUUUAAACAUGUAUUUAAAAAAUUAACAGUUUUAAAAAAAUAAAUUAAAAAAAAAUUAAAACUGUCAACGGUGGAUCUCUUGGCUCGU